GUGCACUUUAUAUGUUGGUUUUCUUUGUACUUUUUGGGUGUUUGAGACACUUGUUAGUGUGAUAGAAUUUAUCUUGAUUCCAAGGCUCAAGCUUAUAAGUGUCAUAUAAUGAUAUCCUAUAUUAAAAUUGGCUAACUUGGACUCAGGAAAUGCUUGAUGCUUAAACAACACUUAAGACCAUAUAUGUCUAAGUUCCGGGAGCAGAGAGCCCCCACCUAAGAUGUCUCUGCUCUAAUCAUUUUGUUCUCUCUUGCCUUGAAACUUAUUUGUUAUAUGUAC